AUCUCUGUAGAGUCUGCAUAUCAAUAAGCGGAGGAAAAGAAACUAACAAGGAUUCCCCUAGUAACGGCGAGUGAAGCGGGAAGAGCUCAAAUUUGAAAUCUUCAAGGUUUGACCUUGACGAAUUGUAGUUUAAAGAAGUGUUUUCGGUUAGAGGAGUAGUAAAAGUUCUUUGGAAUAGGACAUCAUAGAGGGUGAGAAUCCCGUAUUUGACUAUUCUUUCUAGCUUUGUGAUACACUUUCAAAGAGUCGGAUUGUUUGGGAAUGCAGUCCAAAAUGGGUGGUAAAUUUCAUCUAAAGCUAAAUAUUGGCGAGAGACCGAUAGCGAACAAGUACCGUGAGGGAAAGAUGAAAAGAACUUUGAAAAGAGAGUUAAACAGUACGUGAAAUUGUCAAAAGGGAAGCGUUUGACACCAGUGUUAUUUUUCCGAAAAUCAAUUAAAAAUUGAUUCAUGCCAUGGUUGUAUUGACCUUAUCAGCUUGCAAUUUGGUUUUGGGUCUCUUUUUGAUGCACUUUUCGGUUAACAAGUCAACAUCAAUUUCCUUUGCUGUAAAAAGGUAAGAGGAAGGUGGCUUCAAUUUCGGUUGAAGUGUUUAUAGCCUUUUAUCUCUGCAGUCGGGGAGAUUGAGGUCUGCAGCGUAGAUCCUUCGGGGCUAGAUACAUUUAUGCUAAGUUAUAGCUUUUCAUAGACAACUUGUUGACUAUGUUUAGUCAUGUAGCUUACUCGUAAGUGCUAUUUUACCUACGCUUAGGAUGUUGAAGACUCUACAGAGAUA
rnacentral:rRNA from 1 species